rnacentral:hammerhead_ribozyme from 1 species
AGUCGAAACGGCCCCGCCACGGGCCGUCCGGGAUGGGCUGGCCACCUCCCGCUGAUGAGACAGGCCACG